rnacentral:snRNA from 1 species
AUACUUAUCUGGAGCUAAGACCUCGUUCAUCACCAAGCACGAGCCCUCAGGGCAAGGCGCGGGCAUUGCAUUGCGCUCGCGUUGACCCCUGCCACUACCCUGAACUGGGGUAGAUGGGGCAUGACAAUUGC